GGCGGUGUAGCUCAGCUGGCUAGAGCAACCGGUUCAUACCCGGUAGGUCGGGGGUUCAAAUCCCUCCGCCGCUACCA
rnacentral:tRNA from 1 species